CUCCCUGCCGGCAGAGUGCGGCGGCGUAGCUUGCAAACCCGGGCUGCGAGUGGGGAUGGCGGUCGCAGCAGCGAUUGCGUGCCGGCUGUUGAGGCUCCGUGCAGCCGGGGCCGGGGGACACUGGCGUCGGCUGCGUGGCGCGGGGCUGCCGCGGGGCUUCCUGCAGCCCGCCUCGGCCGGCGAGGAUGCUGCCCAGUGGCGGCGGGUGGCUCACUUCACUUUCCAGCCGGACCCGGAGCCCCUGGAGUACGGGCAAACUCAGAAAAUGAAUCUUUUCCAGGCAGUAACAAGUGCCUUGGACAACUCAUUGGCUAAAGAUCCUACUGCAGUAAUAUUUGGUGAAGAUGUUGCCUUUGGUGGAGUCUUUAGAUGUACUGUUGGCUUGCGAGACAAAUAUGGAAAAGAUAGAGUUUUUAACACUCCAUUGUGUGAACAAGGAAUUGUUGGGUUUGGAAUUGGAAUUGCAGUCACUGGUGCCACUGCCAUUGCAGAAAUUCAGUUUGCAGAUUAUAUUUUCCCUGCUUUUGAUCAGAUUGUUAACGAAGCCGCCAAGUAUCGCUAUCGCUCUGGGGAUCUUUUUAAUUGUGGAAGCCUCACCAUCCGGGCCCCUUGGGGCUGUGUUGGCCAUGGGGCUGUCUACCAUUCUCAGAGUCCGGAAGCUUUUUUUGCACACUGCCCAGGAAUCAAGGUGGUUGUACCCAGAAGCCCUUUCCAGGCCAAGGGACUUCUUUUGUCGUGCAUAGAGGAUAAAAAUCCUUGUAUAUUUUUUGAACCUAAGAUACUUUACCGGGCAGCAGUGGAGCAGGUUCCUGUGGAACCGUAUAACAUUCCCCUCUCCCAGGCCGAAGUCAUCCAGGAAGGGAGCGAUGUUACUCUGGUUGCCUGGGGCACUCAGGUUCAUGUGAUCCGAGAGGUCGCUUCCAUGGCUCAGGAAAAGCUCGGAGUGUCUUGUGAAGUCAUUGACCUGAGGACUAUAAUACCUUGGGAUGUGGAUACGGUUUGCAAGUCUGUGAUCAAAACAGGGCGACUGCUGGUCAGUCACGAGGCUCCCUUGACGGGCGGCUUUGCUUCCGAGAUCAGCUCGACCGUUCAGCAAUUGGAAGACACUGGUGAUGUUGAGGAAAUCAGAGGAUGGAAGCCACAUUGUAUUUCAGCAGGAAGAAUGUUUCCUGAACCUAGAGGCUCCUAUAUCAAGAGUAUGUGGGUACGACACACCAUUUCCCCACGUUUUUGAGCCUUUCUACAUCCCAGACAAAUGGAAGUGCUAUGAUGCCCUUCGAAAGAUGAUCAACUAUUGACCCCACGGAGAUGGGGUGUAAGGUGCUGGCACUGUGAAGAGAGGAGAAUCUGUAAUGCUGGAUGUACAACUAGUCAGGAUUUGGAUAACAUUACAAUCAUUCAAAAUGGUACGGAAAAACAUCAGCACAAGGUUGGUGUUGAAGGGGAAGUAAGGAAAACCCUGAAUAGGCUAAAACGACACACAAAAGUGCCAAAUGCAACGUCAUUGCAGGUACUGCAAAGAACUCUCCAUGAUAUGAUGAAGAGGUCCUGCUAAGGCUACCAGAAAGAGACUCAUUCAAAAGGCAAGUGAAUAGAAUUCAAAACAGACUUCAACCUCCAAAUCCAACUUCGUUGCAUGGAAUUUAAAUUUCAGAGGAGUAUAAAGUGACCAGAUGCGGAGAAUCAUUUCUUACGCACAAGUCUGAUGCUCAAGAUGAAGGAAGAAUUCUUAUUUGUACAAUUUAUGAAAAUAUUCAAUAUUUAAAUACCAGUGCCACAUUAUUCAGUGAUGGUACCUUCGAGACAGCACCAACACAGUUCACUCAGUUAUUUACUGUCCAUGGUGUAGUAUUGGAUUAUACUAUGCCAUUGAUUUAUGCACUAACAAUGAAAAGGCAAGAAGACAUUUACAGAUAUGUAUAUGAGAAAGUACUUGCAUUUGCACAGAAAAGAAAUCUGAACAUUAACCCUUCAUUGUGCAUGGUGCAUUUCGAGAUCUCAAAUAUGAAGGUGAUUUGACUACCCCUACCAAAUGCAUGAGUAAAAAGAUGCUUGUUUUACUUUCCACGAUCACUGUGGUAAAAAAUAUCUUUGGUCUGACAUGUGAGUAUAUGACAAUGGAAAGGAGCACCCAUAAGUGUGCAUUCAUGUUGUUUGGACUUCCAUUUGUGUCUUUGGAAGAUAAGUACACUGUGGAGAAUGCAGAAGAAAAUUUAGAUAACCUAAUGGAUUAUGUUGAAAGAGUGUAUGCCUGGGGAAGGUGUGCCAGAGGCAGAGGAAGACCAGAAGUUCCAAGAUUUUCACCAGAAACUUGGAAUGAAAGACAAAGACUUCAUUUUGCCUCCUUGGCUGGUCACAAUCAUUUCUAAAAACCAGAGUUUAGCUUCAUUUAUUUCUCUAUUGUUUUUCUGUUUCCCUCUGAUCUUCCCUUUAUUACUUACUUCCUUCUGUUUAAUGUGGGCUUAAAUUUGCUUUUCUUCUAGCUUAUUAAGGUGAAAGCUAUCCUUGAUUUGAGAGCUUCUUUUCUAGUAUAAUCAUGUAUGCUAUACAUUUUCCCCUUAACAUUGCUUUAGCUGCCUCCUAUCAUUUAGCUGUUUUAUUUUAAUUUUCUUUGAGU